rnacentral:rRNA from 1 species
CCUACGGGUGGCAGCAGUGAGGAAUAUUGGUCAAUGGACGCAAGUCUGAACCAGCCAUGCCGCGUGCAGGAAGAAGGCUCUAUGAGUUGUAAACUGCUUUUGUACGAGGGUAAACGCAGAUACGCGUAUCUGUCUGAAAGUAUCGUACGAAUAAGGAUCGGCUAACUCCGUGCCAGCAGCCGCGGUAAUACGGAGGAUUCAAGCGUUAUCCGGAUUUAUUGGGUUUAAAGGGUGCGUAGGCGGUCGGAUAAGUUAGAGGUGAAAUCCCGAGGCUCAACGUCGGACUUGCCUCUGAUACUGUGCGGCUAGAGAGUAGUUGCGGUAGGCGGAAUGUAUGGUGUAGCGGUGAAAUGCUUAGAGAUCAUACAGAACACCGAUUGCGAAGGCAGCUUACCAAGCUACUUCUGACGUUGAGGCACGAAAGCGUGGGGAGCAAACAGGAUUAGAUACCCCUGUAGUC